CUGCACGAUCUCUCCCGGGCUUCUCUGAAAGAUUUUGAAUUGACGAUGUAAGCCCCAAUGAUUGUGCUUUAUCGAUUGUCGUUAAGUGUUGCAGUUUAGCAUUUUAUUUCAUGGCUAAUUUUGUGUCAAAUCGACGGCUACAUUU